rnacentral:rRNA from 1 species
GCCGCGUGUGUGAAGAAGGUCUUCGGAUUGUAAAGCACUUUAAGUUGGGAGGAAGGGCAGUAAAUUAAUACUUUGCUGUUUUGACGUUACCGACAGAAUAAGCACCGGCUAACUCUGUGCCAGCAGCCGCGGUAAUACAGAGGGUGCAAGCGUUAAUCGGAAUUACUGGGCGUAAAGCGCGCGUAGGUGGUUUGUUAAGUUGGAUGUGAAAUCCCCGGGCUCAACCUGGGAACUGCAUUCAAAACUGACUGACUAGAGUAUGGUAGAGGGUGGUGGAAUUUCCUGUGUAGCGGUGAAAUGCGUAGAUAUAGGAAGGAACACCAGUGGCG